rnacentral:rRNA from 1 species
GAGUUUGAUCAUGGCUCAGGAUGAACGCUAGCGGCAGGCUUAACACAUGCAAGUCGAGGGGUAUAGUUCUUCGGAAUUAGAGACCGGCGCACGGGUGCGUAACGCGUAUGCAAUCUACCUUUCACAGAGGGAUAGCCCAGAGAAAUUUGGAUUAAUACCUCAUAGUAUUAUGGAAUGGCAUCAUUUUAUAAUUAAAGUCACAACGGUGAAAGAUGAGCAUGCGUCCCAUUAGCUAGUUGGUAAGGUAACGGCUUACCAAGGCUACGAUGGGUAGGGGUCCUGAGAGGGAGAUCCCCCACACUGGUACUGAGACACGGACCAGACUCCUACGGGAGGCAGCAGUGAGGAAUAUUGGACAAUGGGCGCAAGCCUGAUCCAGCCAUGCCGCGUGCAGGAUGACGGUCCUAUGGAUUGUAAACUGCUUUUGCACAGGAAGAAACAACUCUACGUGUAGAGUCUUGACGGUACUGUGAGAAUAAGGAUCGGCUAACUCCGUGCCAGCAGCCGCGGUAAUACGGAGGAUCCAAGCGUUAUCCGGAAUCAUUGGGUUUAAAGGGUCCGUAGGCGGUUUAGUAAGUCAGUGGUGAAAGCCCAUCGCUCAACGGUGGAACGGCCAUUGAUACUGCUAGACUUGAAUUAUUAGGAAGUAACUAGAAUAUGUAGUGUAGCGGUGAAAUGCUUAGAGAUUAC